GGUUCGACCCGAGCGAAGCGAGAGAACGUUGCGUCAGCAACGGCCCGCAGGGCGAGCCACGCAGUGGCGAGUCAUCCUCUAUCACCGACCA
rnacentral:sRNA from 1 species